rnacentral:rRNA from 1 species
GACGAACGCUGGCGGCGUGCCUAACACAUGCAAGUCGAACGGACGAGGCCCCUUCGGGGACCGAGUUAGUGGCGGACGGGUGAGUAACGCGUGAGCAACCUGCCUUUCAGAGGGGGACAACAGUUGGAAACGACUGCUAAUACCGCAUAACACAUUCGGGGGGCAUCCCCUGAAUGUCAAAGAUUUAUCGCUGAAAGAUGGGCCCGCGUCUGAUUAGCUAGUUGGUGAGGUAACGGCUCACCAAGGCGACGAUCAGUAGCCGGACUGAGAGGUUGAACGGCCACAUUGGGACUGAGAUACGGCCCAGACUCCUACGGGAGGCAGCAGUGGGGAAUAUUGGGCAAUGGGGGAAACCCUGACCCAGCAACGCCGCGUGAAGGAAGAAGGCUUUCGGGUUGUAAACUUCUUUUACCAGGGACGAAGACGUGACGGUACCUGGAGAAAAAGCCACGGCUAACUACGUGCCAGCCGCCGCCGUAA